CGCGAGAAGUCACUGAACCUUAUCAUUUUAGAGGAAGGAGAAGUCGUAACAAGGUUUCCGUAGGUGAACCUGCGGAAGGAUCAUUG
rnacentral:ncRNA from 1 species